rnacentral:rRNA from 1 species
CUCUACGGCCAUAACUCCCUGAAUGCACCCGAUCUUGUCUGAACUUGGAAGCUAGGCAGGGUCAGGCCUGGUUAGUACUUGGAUGGGAAAAGUAGUCUCAUACUUC